ACGGUACAACGAGUCGCAAGCUCGCGAGAGUAAGCUAAUCUCUUAAAGCCGUUCUCAGUUCGGACUGUAGGCUGCAACUCGCCUACACGAAGUCGGAAUCGCUAGUAAUCGCGGAUCAGCAUGCCGCGGUGAAUACGUUCCCGGGCCUUGUACACACCGCCCGUCCCACCAUGGGAGUUUGUAACGCCCAAAGUCGGUGGCCUAACCUUUAUGGAGGGAGCCGCCUAAGGCGGGACAGAUGACUGGGGUGAAGUCGUAACAAGGUACC
rnacentral:rRNA from 1 species